AACGAACGCUGGCGGCAUGCCUAACACAUGCAAGUCGAACGAACCCUUCGGGGUUAGUGGCGCACGGGUGCGUAACGCGUGGGAAUCUGCCCUUUGCUUCGGAAUAACAGUUAGAAAUGACUGCUAAUACCGGAUGAUGUCUUCGGACCAAAGAUUUAUCGGCAAGGGAUGAGCCCGCGUAGGAUUAGGUAGUUGGUGGGGUAAAGGCCUACCAAGCCGACGAUCCUUAGCUGGUCUGAGAGGAUGAUCAGCCACACUGGUACUGAGACACGGCCCAUGCUCCUACGGGAGGCAGCAGUUGGGAAUAUUGGACAAUGGGCGCAAGCCUGAUCCAGCAAUGCCGCGUGAGUGAUGAAGGCCUUCGGGUCGUAAAGCUCUUUUACCAGGGAUGAUAAUGACAGUACCUGGAGAAUAAGCUCCGGCUAACUCCGUGCCAGCAGCCGCCGUAAAAC
rnacentral:rRNA from 1 species